rnacentral:tRNA from 1 species
GCAGUGCUGGUUCAGUGGUGGAAUUCUUGCUUUCCGUGUAGGAGACCUGGGUUCGAUUCCCACCAAUGCA